rnacentral:rRNA from 1 species
CCUACGGGAGGCAGCAGUAGGGAAUAUUCCACAAUGGACGAAAGUCUGAUGGAGCAACGCCGCGUGAGUGAAGAAGGGUCUAGGCGCGUAAAGCUCCGUUGGUAGGGAAGAAAGAUAGAGGGAGUAAGUGGCCUUGAAUGGACGGUAAGGACGAAGAAAGGCACGGCUAACUACGUGCCAGCAGCCGCGGUAAUACGUAGGUGGGAAGCGUUGUCCGGAUUUAUUGGGCGUAAAGCGAGUGGAGGCGGUUCAAUAAGUCUGAUGUGAAAGCCUUCGGCUCAACCGGAGAAUUGCAUCCGAAACUGUUGAACUUGAGUGCAGCAGAGGAGAGUGGAACUCCAUGUGUAGCGGUGCAAUGCGUAGAUAUCUGGAAGAACACCAGUGGCGACGGCGGCUCUCUGGUCUGCAACUGACGCUGAGGCUCGAAAGCCUGGGUAGCGAACAGGAUUAGAUACCCCAGUAGUC